UUCUUGGCGAGAUUGUUGCGUGCUAAUGUGAUGGCUUGUUGCUUCAACGCAAGUGUUGCAGCGGGUUUUGAUCUGGACGUGCGCGGUGCUUCUUGCCUUGGGUGUCAACGUCGGUUCAGACUUGAGGAAAACUCCAGGGACAUGGUUAGUCACUUCUGGGUGACUGAACGUGCUUGGCAGAACUCAUUUCUGAACUGAAUUCCGCAUGUCUGGUCGCAGUGCUUUCACCUCCUGGGCUUUGUUCACUGCUCUUAAGUGGGCCUCUGUGCAUGGGACAGGACGUGGGGCAUCUCCCUGACAUCAGUACGAUGACAAAAUGGUUUCAUUCGACCCGUCUUGAAACACGGACCAAGGAGUCUAACAUAUGUGCAAGUUCACGGGUGUUAAACCUGCUUGCGCAAUGAAAGUGACUGCUGGGAUAUUUGCACCAGCAACCGACCAAUCAAUUGUGAGAGGUUUGAGUAUGAGCAUAUCUGUUAGGACCCGAAAGAUGGUGAACUAUGCCUGAGAAGGGUGAAGUCAGGGGAAACUCUGAUGGAGGCUCGUAGCGAUACUGACGUG
rnacentral:rRNA from 1 species